AAAUUAAUCAUUCAUCAAAGCCAAACAGAAAAACCUAUGUUGUGUAUCCACAUGAUGAAGAUAAAAAUUGUGAGAAAGUUAUUUCUGAUCUUAUUGGACACACAGUUGGGCUGUUUAAACUUCCAGAAAGUCUUCCAGUUCUAAAGAACCCUGAAAGAAAACAAAGAAAUUACCAAGAAAAAAAUAACUGUGCUUCUACACAGAAAGAAGAUAUGAUUUGUGAAGUUCCUUUCAACAAAAAAGCAGUCUCAGAUUCUGGGAUUAAACCUCUCCAAGAAUUGACAAAUAUGAGAGUGAAAUCCCUUCCAAAACCCAAGAAAGCUUUAGAAGAAAAUUUGACGCCACCUAUUAGACGCAGAAGAGCCACAGUCAGCUACAAAGAACCCAGUAUAAAAAGCAAAUUGAGAAGAGAAGAUGAGUACACAGCUAAAGGGUUUCUGGAUUUUCCAGUCAACAAAGUAAAAAAUAAGCCAAGUUUUAAAAGCAAAUUGAGACUGAGCUGAAAUAUAUAUGUCUCUCUGUGUGUAUAUAUUUAUAUGUACCGGUAUAUGUAUGUGUGUGUAAUUCAGUCAUUAAAUGACCUGUGUGGGUAGUCUGUUCUUAAAACAAGUUUGAUAAUUCCUUCUUUGCUGACUUCAUUUUCCUUUAAGCUAGGUUUUUAUCUUAGCAUUAAAAAAAAAAAAAGGUAAAUAAGACCAUGAAAGUGAACACAGAUAAAAUGACUUCACUGCAUUCCUAUCAAUAUAGCUAAAGCUUUAAAGUUUAGGUUUUAAAGAUUACAAUUUUCAGUGACUGCACAGCUUUUUCUAGAACAGUGAAUAUAAAUUUAUAAGUUGCA